rnacentral:rRNA from 1 species
UACGUAGGGUGCAAGCGUUGUCCGGAAUUAUUGGGCGUAAAGAGCUCGUAGGCGGUUUGUUGCGUCGGCUGUGAAAUCCCGAGGCUCAACCUCGGGUCUGCAGUCGAUACGAGCAAACUAGAGUGUUGCAGGGGAGACUGGAAUUCCUGGUGUAGCGGUGAAAUGCGCAGAUAUCAGGAGGAACACCGGUGGCGAAGGCGGGUCUCUGGGCAACAACUGACGCUGAGGGGCGAAAGCGUGGGGAGCGAACGGG